AACGUGACCUGGUGAUACACUGCAAAUUGAGAGAUGAUUUGGGAAAAUCUAUACUUACGUGUGUAUGGAGGAUCGUAGUGACCGGCGGUGCCGACAUCUGCAUUAGAUUGACACAACAAUAGCACGACGAGAAUGAGAAUUGAUGAGUGACGGAGGAGUUGUUGCAAUUGCGACAUUGUGGAGAGCCAACCUGCAAAGAGUUUGGAAACAUUGAACAUCUAUCAUGUAUGAUGAAAAGAUUUCAGGCGACACUUGAUUGGUUAUUAUUGCUUGAGAAGGACGAUUCGCGCAAGGUUUACGAGGUACGUUGGAGGAAAAUUAAGAAAGGAAUUAAACCUGCAAAUAAAGAAAAACUAAGCUUCUUUUUUAACCACAUGCACAUAAUCAUAUGCAUAUGGCUUCCGAUUUCGAUCGAACCGAGACUAAAUAAGAGUACAUAUGCUCCCGAGACCUUGGAAGUCAAUACGAAAGAAUCUAGUUCUCUUCUAAUUUUCCGCGCGCCUGGUCUUUUCCAGCCCCCGUUUAUGGACUCAUUAGGUCGUGAUUCUCAUUUCUGGAACCCUUUUUGCUUUUUGGAAAAUAUCAUUCCAAACGUCCAAACUCUCCACGUGACACACGACGCGACAUCAAACACACUCGCGCAGAGCCAAUCAUGUCAGCGAACCGAACCGUAAUGUAUACAGCUGCGAAGCAGUUUCGCUAGUCUAGGCUUGAUCAUUGCUCAGAAGAAUACUCACAUGUGAAAAAAUUGAUAGGCGAUAUUUCCAGACACCCUCUCAAUACGAAUCAAGUAUAUUUCUACAAAGGUAUGAGAACGUGGAGUGUGAACCUACUGGCGGACGAACGAAAAGACGUUUCGCUACCCGUAGAGAAAGGGGGAUUCGAUCUUCUAUCAGAUUCCCAUCUUGGCCUAUCAAUCUAGUUUGCUUGGUCUCGAGGCAGCGUGUUACGAACAAUGAUGAUGUGAAACGCAAUAGCCAACAGGAGAGCAUGAAGAACGAGAAAAUGGGACGGGUUUCGCGGGGAGGAUCGCUUGACGUGCUGAUGAAGUGAAGUGAUCCUGACCGCGUGAUUCACGAGAUGAUUACUGGCUAAUCCACCGCAGUUUUCUCCAUACUAUUGACCUCAUUCCAAGACUCNNNNNNNNNNNNNNNNNNNNNNNNNNNNNNNNNNNNNNNNNNNNNNNNNNNNNNNNNNNNNNNNNNNNNNNNNNNNNNNNNNNNNNNNNNNNNNNNNNNNAUUUGACCACCCGAUCAAACUGAAUCAAUUACCUUCUUCUUCUUUUUUUAUGAAUCUGGUUUGGGAAAAAGCUGACAUUGUGGGUCUGUUUUUGGAGGGAGAAUAAAUGUCUAAUUUUAGGAAGAAAAAGGGUGGGAACAAGCAAUCGGUGUUGGUAGGGUUUCACGCCUGAUAGAAAUGUCGGAUCUAUCUGUGUUCUAACUACUACCCACGAAGGUCCAGACUGUACCAUCAUGAGAGCUGUGAAAAUUAUAUUAGGUACUUCCCAUCUUUGUGCAUGGUUCACACAUAAUUAAAAAGUUUAUGCGAAGUGGGUUAAUGUAGGUAGGGAGUAUAAGAAAAGAAGAGCUCAAGAUGGCACUUUUGUAUAUGAUUCAUGAGGAUCACUAUCACAAAAAUGAUGUAUAACAUGCAAUCACUAUAGAAAAGAAGGAGAAUGGAUGUCUAAUUUCAGGAAGAAAAAGAGUAUGAAUGAGCGAUCGAUAUUGACAAUCAACAUGAAAGUGAUUAUAGAAUUUCGCGCCUAUUAGAAAUGUUUGAUAUAAAUUCUUACCAUUAGCACAAGGUCUAGAAUUUACAGUUUCAAGAGAAGUGAAAGUUAUUAAAUACUUUCUAUCUUUACGUGGAUCGCACAUGAUCAUAUGAAGUACGCUAACAUAGGUUGGGAGCAUAAAAUAAAAGCUUUAAAUGGUUGGUUUGUAUACGACUCAUGAGGGGACUACUGUCACGAAUGAUUCAUGACGUGGAAUCACUAUUGCCAUUUUAUAGUUUUCUAUUUUAUUUUUUGUUUUGCUUUUUUCCCUUUUUUUUGUUCUUUAUUCUUUUUUUUUCUUUACUUCAUCCCUUUUGGUAUUCUUCCUCACGAAUUUUCCUCUCCGAGCAUCUUCUUUUCCCUUUUGUCUUUUUCCACGUUUACACUUUUUUUCUUUUUUAUUUCUUCUUUCUGCCCAUCUUCUUCUUCUUCUUCUUCGAUGGUUUCCUCCUACGCCCGAAAUUGGCCCCUCCUUCCGAUGCCUCCAUGCCGAACGCCCAACCUAUUCUCUCACGCCGACCACUAUAAACAAAGCAGCGGCUGAGCUCAUUGCUUGCCGCCACCAUCACCUCGUGACAUCAUUGCCGGCCCUUCCAAGCCGCGCACCACUUACAACCACCACACCCAGGAAACCAACGGGAGACAAAUAAAACACAGCGGACGUGCCCAGACAUGGCCCAAGGUUCAUAACAUGCAAAACGUACUUAUUCGCGUUCAAGAACACAUGGGAAUCGGUGAUGCACGCGCCUAGGCCGGCUUAGACAUAUCGUCGAACACGUGGUGGGCAUGAAACAGAGGAACGAUAUCGACCCUUUCUGGACUCGGACACAGCGCCAAACUUGAAUAAAAAAAAUCAUCAAAUGGGCAUUCGAAAUUAACCACAUUAUCCCACAGAAGCCCAAUACGCGUGUGACUAACAGGAGGAACAAAACUCAACGUCCUGUCCUACCAAAACAGGCGGAGCAGCGGGAGUUCACAGGAACGGGCGUUUAAAAUGAGAGAUCCGGCUUCGACAGCGGCGACGGGAGGGUGAACUCGAAAUGGAUCGAGCGAUGACUAGCCGUCCCGCGGUGUUCCCGAAGCGAGAUCCUCAGGAAGGCGACGCAACUCGACACAAAUCAAAAAGCUACGCACAAGACCUACCUGGUUCGGGGGGAAGCACUGCAAGGGCGGCGCUUGACGAACGGACUCUGGCGACGGUUGACCACCCUCUCGAGCUCCCUCACCGUCUGGUUCUCUCCCUCUCACUCGCUUAAAACUCUCCCGGGCUCUUCCAAUCUCUCUCCCUCUGUAGCUCGAACCCAAAAGAACCCCCGAACAAAUGAGCCAGCCCCUCUCUUUUAACGGCGACCGGCAGGCCCGCAUGGCCCCUGCCACCGCCAGCUUGCCAGCCGCGGAUCAUGCCGCCAUCUACCCCAUGGCGAUCCCGUUUCCUCUGCUCGUACGCUCUUCUUUUUUCUUUCUUUUUGCAGAAGCGUGGUUGGUAUGAUGGGGGAAGAUGACCUGCAUGCGGGCCAGGCUGAAAUAAAAGGAGAUGGACCGGCCCAGGCGCAAAAGGGAGAAAAGGAAAAGAGAUAGAUGGGCGAGCCCACGCAUGAAGAAAAACCCUCUACUCGGCCCCAUUCGAUUUUUUCUUAUACCUUUUAAUCAAAAAAAUUUCUUUUUUUUUUUAAUUUUUUUUAAAUUAGUGAUAGUUAUGUAAUAAUGUCUACCCAUAAUGGAUUUUAAUGAAAACAUAUACGAUGCAUUUUAAUGGAAGUUAUUUACUUUACUCUUUACUUCUUCUUUAUUUUUUAGCUACUAAUUUCUAAUUUUGUAUGCGAUUAAGUUCUAAAUAAAAUAAUAAAAUUUAUAUGUCAAUAAUUACGUGUUGUGGACAUUGCUCGCAUGAAAAUUCAAUUAAUGUUAGCCACGCACACUUUUGUAGCCAAUCAAAUCAGAGAUGAUUGGAGGGAAAACAUCAUCAUCGAAGGACAAAGUUUAAUGAUUUCAUAUGACAGUGGAUGCUAGCAUGUUCUGUGGUAAUUAUAUUUAUAGUGGUGUGGUCAUUCUAACUUGCAUAUUGCAGCAUCAAUGCAUCAAUUCAAUAAUCUUCUUUUGUUUUGCUAAAAAUAAAUGAUUUGGAAAUUAAUUUCUAUAAAAAAAAAUAUUGCAUAUAUCAUUUGAAAUAAUUAGUUAAUAAAAAAUAUUUUCCUUAUCAAGAUCAAUUUAUAUUUAAACAUUUUUAUGGACAAUAAAAAUAUUUUUCAUAUCAUUUACUUUUUCUAAGCAUUAGCAAUUAUUUUUAAGAAAAAUAUUUUCUAAAUCAUUUAUUUUUUAUGAAACAAACUCAUUUUAAUGUUCUAAUAAAAGUUACCUGCUACUUAUUCUACAUUUUAACUUUUGACUUUGUAAAUCUUGGGGAACUCCCGUUUGACUUUAAUUUGACAUGAAACCCACAAAAACCUUCCGUUUUAUAUACAAUUAAUAAUCUAUAGAAUUGUAUCUAGCUCUUUUUUUGUAAUUUUAAAAAAUUAAAAUUCUUUUUUUCCAGCCAAUUCGCAAAACACAACCCAACUUUUUACACCUGAGAUUCAAAAAAAAAAAAAAUCCCCCAAAGUCCCAAAAAUAAAGAACUCAACCUAUUGUACCCGGCAAAAGCAACACAAUCUUGGAAAUGUCUCGGAAAAGAAAAAAAGCCAAAUCAUUCGUCCAUGAAACAAAAAUAAUACUCAUUAUAAGUUUCUUUCGAUCUCGCAAUUAAACCGUCACAUAUUAGCAUACAUUGCUCAUUAUGCUGACAUGUCAUCGAGCUGCUUGAAUUUCAUUAAAAAUAAAACCGAUCAUGUUUUCAAAAAAUAAUUAUGAACACCAAAUCAUUAAUCAUUACUGCUCAUAUCGCAUUAUAUAUUCGAGGAAUCGAGGAUAAACGGCUUGAUGGUUAAGAGGGCCAGAGGCCGUUCCUUUCUCAAUUUUAGGCACCAAAUCUCAUGUUCAUGUCGAAGAAUAAAAGGUAUGAAACAGUGAUGACAACGAUGAUUAACGCUAAUGCAAGAAGAGAGGGACCGAAAUGUAAUAUAUCUACGUACCCGAAGAAUUCACCAGAGAGACAGAAGGAGAUACGCCCAAGUCGAAGCCCUUUUCUGCAAAUUUACUCGACGGAUCGACGAGCUCUGAUCCUGGACGAAGCACAGUUGUUUGAUUUUCCCGGAAAUUUGGGUAUUUAUAUGCUAGGAACGGAGAUUCUGAAUCCCUAUAUAUAUUGCACGAUCAGAGA
rnacentral:lncRNA from 1 species